rnacentral:rRNA from 1 species
AACGAACGCUGGCGGCAGGCCUAACACAUGCAAGUCGAACGCUGUAGCAAUACAGAGUGGCAGACGGGUGAGUAACGCGUGGGAACGUGCCUUUCGGUUCGGAAUAACUCAGGGAAACUUGAGCUAAUACCGGAUACGCCCUUCGGGGGAAAGAUUUAUUGCCGAAAGAUCGGCCCGCGUCCGAUUAGCUAGUUGGUGUGGUAAUGGCGCACCAAGGCGACGAUCGGUAGCUGGUCUGAGAGGAUGAUCAGCCACACUGGGACUGAGACACGGCCCAGACGCCUACGGGAGGCAGCAGUGGGGAAUAUUGGACAAUGGGCGCAAGCCUGAUCCAGCCAUGCCGCGUGAGUGAUGAAGGCCCUAGGGUUGUAAAGCUCUUUCGCCAGGGACGAUAAUGACGGUACCUGGAUAAGAAGCUCCGGCUAACUUCGUGCCAGCAGCCGCCGUAA